rnacentral:rRNA from 1 species
CCUACGGGCGGCAGCAGUGAGGAAUAUUGGUCAAUGGACGAGAGCCUGAACCAGCCAAGUAGCGUGAAGGAUGACUGCCCUAUGGGUUGUAAACUUCUUUUAUAUGGGAAUAAAAUGUUCCACGUGUGGGAUUUUGUAUGUACUAUAUGAAUAAGGAUCGGCUAACUCCGUGCCAGCAGCCGCGGUAAUACGGAGGAUCCGAGCGUUAUCCGGAUUUAUUGGGUUUAAAGGGAGCGUAGGUGGAUUGUUAAGUCAGUUGUGAAAGUUUGCGGCUCAACCGUAAAAUUGCAGUUGAAACUGGCAGUCUUGAGUACAGUAGAGGUGGGCGGAAUUCGUGGUGUAGCGGUGAAAUGCUUAGAUAUCACGAAGAACUCCGAUUGCGAAGGCAGCUCACUGGACUGCAACUGACACUGAGGCUCGAAAGUGUGGGUAUCAAACAGGAUUAGAUACCCGAGUAGUC